AUUGAACGCUGGCGGCAGGCCUAACACAUGCAAGUCGAACGGUAACAGGAUGUGCUUGCACAUCGCUGACGAGUGGCGGACGGGUGAGUAAUGCUUGGGAACAUGCCUUUGUGAGGGGAUAACAGUUGGAAACGACUGCUAAUACCGCAUAACGUCUUUGGACCAAAGGGGGCUUUUAGCUCUCGCGCAAAGAGUGGCCCAAGUGAGAUUAGCUAGUUGGUGAGGUAAAGGCUCACCAAGGCGACGAUCUCUAGCUGUUCUGAGAGGAAGAUCAGCCACACUGGGACUGAGACACGGCCCAGACUCCUACGGGAGGCAGCAGUGGGGAAUAUUGCACAAUGGGGGAAACCCUGAUGCAGCCAUGCCGCGUGUGUGAAGAAGGCCUUCGGGUUGUAAAGCACUUUCAGUCAGGAGGAAGGUUAGUAGUUAAUACCUGCUAGCUGUGACGUUACUGACAGAAGAAGCACCGGCU
rnacentral:rRNA from 1 species